rnacentral:lncRNA from 1 species
GAUCACACCUCUUGUCUUGUAGGCAUGUCAAUACCAAUUAUUUGGGGUGCUGUGCAUGGUCCUGAACUUCUGCCUUGAAGACUAAGCCAAGUGAAUACAGACACAAUUGAAGUCAGCAAGGAACUGAUGACUAUCACUGAAGCCCAGAGCAAUUAGUUCUGGAAGCAAUUCAACCCACAUCUUCCUUUGGGCAAGGCCUCAGAGAGAAGUGUUAAUAUUUCAUAUUUUGAAGAUACCACAAAGAACAAAACUGGAAAGAAUUUGAAGAAUUGGGUAAACAUGCACCUUAUAGCUCUAUCUAUAACAGAAUCAGAAAUCACAAAAUCCAAUUUCAGUGCAGAAAACUAGACAUUUACGUCUGGUUUCAAGGAGCCUACGACUAUGUCCUUAUAUAAUGAACAAUAAAAAGUCUCC